rnacentral:rRNA from 1 species
GAUGAACGCUGGCGGCGUGCCUAAUACAUGCAAGUCGGGCGAACGGACGAGAAGCUUGCUUCUCUGAUGUUAGCGGCGGACGGGUGAGUAACACGUGUAUAACCUACCUAUAAGACUGGGAUAACUUCGGGAAACGGGAUCUUAUACCGUAUAAUAUUUUGAACCGCAGGGGGCAAAGGUGAGAGACGGCCGUGCUGUCUGUAAUAGAUGGUUCUGGGCUGCAUCAGCUAGUUGUGCAGGUAACGGGUUACCAAGGGAACGAUGCAUGGCCGACCGGAGAGGGUGAUAGGCCACAUUGGAAGUGAGCCACCGUCAAGACUACUACGGGAGGCAGCAGUAGGGAAUCGUACGCAAUAGGCGAAAGCCUGACGGAGCGACGCCGCGUGAGUGAUGAAGGUCUUCGGAUCGUAAAAAUCUGUUAUUAGGGAAGAACAGCUGUGUAAGUAGAUGUGGCGAUAUUGACGGUAACUAAUAAGAAAGCAACGGCUAACUACGUG